CCGUCUAGUAGUAGGAGUAGAUGUCGUAGCAGGUACAGUUCCCGCUACUCGUUGCAAAGCAUCAGCUAUAAUUCUCAGUAAAUGGGAGUUAUCUCUGUCUCUAACAUUUCCACGUUCUAUAUUAGGUUGGUUACCUAAUGGAUUUACACUCGGUGUAGCUGAUUCUGUUUCAUCCAAUUCUCUAUCUCUGAUAUACAUUUCUUGAUCUACAUCUUCCACGUGUUCAUUCGACAUUUUAACUAUAAAACAAAACAAAUAAUUAUACCAGCAUCCAAAAAUCCC
rnacentral:lncRNA from 1 species